rnacentral:rRNA from 1 species
CCCUUAGAUGUCCUGGGCCGCACGCGCGCUACACUGAGUGUCUGAGAUACGAGUCUGCCUGGUCCGGCCAGGUCUAGGUAAUCGCUAAAAGACACAUCAUGCUUGGGAUAGAUUAUUGCAAAUAUUAAUCUUGAACGAGGAAUUCCUAGUAAGCGCAAGUCAACAGCUUGCGUUGAUUACGUCCCUGCCCUUUGUACACACCGCCCGUCGCUACUACUGAUUGGAUGUUUAAGCGAGGUUCUCGAACUGCUAGCGACUUAGCUUCGGUGAGGUCGCAGUGUGGGAAGUGAACCUAGCUUUGGUGUCUAGAGGAAGUAAAAGUCGUAACA